rfam:Candidatus Burkholderia kirkii TZHbot1, WGS project CAFE01000000 data, contig: bkir_c106
GUGGGCAUCGUCACCGUGCAGCCGACGAGCGUGCCGGUGGUCGUCGAACUGCCGGGCCGCACCAGCGCGUAUCUCGUCGCGCAGGUGCGGGCGCGGGUCGACGGCAUCGUGCAGCGCCGCAAUUUCACCGAAGGCUCCGAAGUCAAGGCCGGCCAGCAUCUGUACAAGAUCGA